AGCAGAUGGCAGAUACGCCGGACCGAACACAGAAACUGUAGCUCCGAGGAGAGGCUGGGCUGUAGUGGACUGCCAACCAAGGCCUGCUGCCGGUGUCAAGCAGCUCAUCAUAAAUCUUCCCCAGACUGGUGGGGAUGGGGGGGGAGAGUUGAACUAUCAAGAGAUAGCUUAUAUCAUUGGUAGAUUAGGAAAGAGUGACGGAGAGGGGCUUUGUGGCCCCACUGAGACAAGUGUGUGUGAGACAGCGAAGGUUACUCAAGGACAGCACACACACAGGCGUCACUGUCUUGUAAUCAAUCAUGGGCCUGGAGUGGACAUGGUGCAGGUGGUUGGGAUGAUUGGACCAGAACAUGCCUCCACUGGAAAGCAACUUCUUCUGAGCUGACUAGAGUCUCCAAAAGCAAAAUUUCCCACAACAAGACCUUUGAUUCGCUGUCAUUUAAAGACACAAG
ensembl:lncRNA